GACCUCCUUCCCAAGCUACGAUCCAUCCUCUCUCUCUAUUCCCCACGGCCCCAACUCGUGCGAUCCAUGUUUCUCGGCACUCACGUUGAUGUGAAAACUGAAACUCAGAAGAAAAGAAAAAAACGGCCCACACGCGCACGUCUCCCACGUCCCACGCCCCAUCGCCUCCCAAACCCCACCCCCCUCAGUCGAUCCCAUGUCUCUCCCCAGAAAAUUGUAGCCGCCGGCCUCUUCCUUCAUCGCUCGACUCGCCCAAUGCGAUGAGGACGGACGAAUCCUUCUGUCCUCUCACCCACUACCUCUCGCUUUCCCGCCGUCGACCCUACGCCGUAUCUGCCCGCCAUCCCCUUUCCCCGCCGUGUGACUUCCGCGGCAGACAGGGAAGUUGGCAACCACCGAGGCCCAUGGCCCUCCUACACUUGCCGGAGCCAUCAGCUGGGACCAAGGUCGCCGACCCGCAAGACGUGCUUACAGCAGCACUGCUAGAUUUCUGGUUUAGGUCAUGAUCCAGUACUACUAUCUUAACAUUCGCAGGAAGCGGAUGGCCAUGGGCAGGGGUGUCUAGCUCCUCCUCCUUGACCAGUUCAUCCCGCAGUCACCAUCGUCUUCCACGCGACCAUGCCAGAUUCGCGUCAUCAUCAUCAUCAUCGCAGGUAGGCAGCGGUGGCUGCGGUGAGGGCACGUGCGGCAGGGAGGGCCAUAACCCUGACUUCAGUACGCGAUGUUACAGGUUGUUGAAUAUAUACAGUUUUUGGAAGAGAAAAAAAUGGCUUGUGUUCGGGUGAGGCCCAGAUACAACAUCCCACAUUUUGUUUUCGAAAUCAUCUCUACUUAACUACAAAGGUUGUGGUUGCAACUUGGAUGCAGAGGAAGAGUAAUUUGGCUGCUAAGGUAUCAAGGUAAGGGAAAAAGAAAUAUUGCCCCAGUGUUUAUGAUUUGUCUGGUUAGGGUCAUAGUGUAUUUUAAUCCAUUAUGAAUUUCUAUAGCUGUGAAUUAUAUAUACACAUGUACGAAGAAACAAUAGAUUAAGUUUGUUUCAUCCUUUGGGUGUAUAUUUUGAAGUUCCUGAGUGACAAAGGCUCUUUGAGAAACAGUAAGAUUAAUUUUUUUUAUCACAUAAUGCAGGAUUAUUAAACCCAAACAAAUCCAAGCGGUAUUUGUCAUUUGCUAUAAAGCCAUUAAAAACGCCUCCAGGAGAAAUGUCAAAGGCUCUUUGAGAAACUUGUAUAUUUAUCUCUUCUUUACUUGCCUUUAAUGAAAAACAUGAUAGUAUCCAAAUUAAUUUCAGGAAGGUACUCCUAUAAGAGGAAACUUUUGAGAUGUAUCAUGUCAUUUAAAUUUAAUCCAUAAUGCAGAGAUAAAAACAGUUUUUUCAUUCACCACAUGGAGAUCGCAUUAACUAAGCGUCGUGAGGCAAGCCAUGAUGUUCUUCGAAAUAUGUGGACAAUAAGGUUGCCGAGUGAGCAAUUCUUUUUGCUUCUGUGGUGUUCUCAGGGAGGGAUAAUUCGUGGCCUUGGUGAUAUAUGCAAACCAAAUUUUGUAUGAUUUUUAGAACCCUUUGUAGUGAAAGACAGUAAAUGAGGAAUGAUGUUUAAAUAAUAUUGAGUUUUUCUUUUAUCUUUUUCUUGGUUCAGUUUGCAACCAACCUUCUAUGUAGCUGAAAUUUUAUGUAUCAUAUUAGGUCUGUGUUUGCAUUGUGAAAGAUUGUCUUAUUGAACCUUGCCAUAUCGAGAGUACUUUUUAUUUUCUUGUUGUUUGUAAAAACUGACUCUUUUGAUGCACAUCAGUAGAGCCACAAAACUGAUAUUCACCGCUUAGGCAUAUGAACAUGUGGAUGAAUUGUGAAAUGAUGCUGGCCAGCUUGUUACUUGUAGGCAUUGCAUGCCAUGCAUAGUCCUAAUUUAUAUUCCGCAUCAACUUGACAGUGUUCUAAGUUACAUUCAUAUUAUUUGCAUGACAUAUAAUUAUCUAUCUAUUUAGCUCCUUAAAGAUUGUAAAGUGCAGGUGUACAAUCAAGGCUUCAUUGUUCUUACCCGUAAAAAAAAGGCUUCAUUUUUUUGUUUAGAAAAGGCUUGUUUGGUCAUAGUUGGUUGGGAAAGGUAAGGUUAUGGAAAUACUGGUUCUUUUGACAAACCACGCACUGAUAGGGUGGUCAUGAAUUAUUAAUUUAAUAACAUACACAAAGUUUGUCGUCUUUAUAAGGAAUCAAAAAGAACACAUUGAAGCCUCGAAGAAAACAUAAUAUGUAAAUUUAGAUGUUGAGGUUCUGAUUUGAUAUUCUUACCUUAUGUACUAUUUUGUUCAGAAAAUGUUUUACACUCGCAUGUUCGGUCGGAAAGGCCUUGGGCUGCUAGCAGUUAAUUUUUAGAGUAGUUUUUUGUAUUGAUCUGCAAUGCCCGAAUGAUAGGAAAUGAUUUUUUUUAUCUUAUGACUCUUAUAUAUUCAUAUAUUCCUUUAAUUUUGUAGAAACUAGAGCAAAUUGUGAACCUGUAUGUAUCAAAGAAUUUUAUGAAUUAUGUUUGCGCAUAUGGCAAUAUGAAAA